rnacentral:rRNA from 1 species
ACGCUGGCGGCGUGCCUAACACAUGCAAGUCGAGCGGAGUUUUUGAGUUGAGACCUUCGGGUGGAUUCUUAAGAAACUUAGUCGGCGGACGGGUGAGUAACGCGUGAGCAACCUGCCUUUCAGAGGGGAAUAACACAGUGAAAAACUGUACUAAUACCGCAUAAUGUGUUUUGUUCGCAUGAACGAAACACCAAAGGAGCAAUCCGCUGAAAGAUGGGCUCGCGUCCGAUUAGAUAGUUGGUGAGGUAAACGGCCCACCAAGUCUGCGAUCGGUAGCCGGACUGAGAGGUUGAACGGCCACAUUGGGACUGAGAUACGGCCCAGACUCCUACGGGAGGCAGCAGUGAGGGAUAUUAGGCAAUGGGGGAAACCCUGACCUAGCAACGCCGCGUGAAGGAUGAAGGUUUUCGGAUUGUAAACUUCUUUGACGAGGGACGAUAGUGACGGUACCUCGAAAACAAGCCACGGCUAACUACGUG